CCUUGUUUGUACAACAAACCACAUUAGAAUUGUCAAGUGUGACCUGAAACUUAAAAUGAAUUUAAAUAUCAUAAUAAUAGCUCUGUUUCCGAUUCUUUUGGGAGUUUUUGGGAAGAACGUAGUGGUUCAAAAUCAAAGUGACUUGAAGCGAGUUAACAUUCCCGUUGCCUGUCUCAUGGAAGCAGUAACCAAAUUUGGAAUGUGUCUUAUUCUUAAGGAAGAACUGCAAAAACAGCAAGAAUCGCAUGACCAAGCCCUAUUAAAGUUAAGAAGUAGCAAAAUUAUCCGUUGUACGGGUGAUUUCGCUUGUAAUAUGAUCAAGUGUUUCACUGGCUAGCGUUUCGUGAUCGAUGCUACGAAGAAAUAAGAAAAUCAUUAAAUUACAAAAUGUGCAUUGUAUUGAAGUUGUUCUUAUUAAACAAAGUUUAAAUUUAA